rnacentral:lncRNA from 1 species
UAAUGCUUUAUUAAAUCAUGCACAUGCAGGGAAGAAAAUAACAAGGAGUGCAUCUAUUCAUUAUUUGGUUGUCUUUGGACAUAUUUUAGCUAGAAUUUGAGUUAACAAGAUAGGUAGGUGUAGAUAACAUAUCAAAUCCAUUGAAUUUAGUUCCCUCACACAUUGAAUAUGCACUCAUAUUAUAAAACACUAUCAGGCCAUCCAAAUGAAGCUCUGGCAAUUUUGUGUCAAUAGCCACUACAUCAAGUUGCAACAGACCACGGGAUUGGGCGAUUUUUAAAGGGAAAUUCAGAGAGGUGAUUUCGGUAAGUGUUCUUCAUUUGAUUUUGGUUAAAUUCCGUGAUUGUAUCUUGAUUUUUAUCAUCUAAAUUGGGAAUUGGAGUGUAAAAUUUGGGGAAGGGGGGAUGGAAGAAAAUUGGAGAGAUGAUUUUGGGGAUUUGGAUGGCCAGUUGAUGUCGGAUUUUGAUGAUUUUGGUAUGGGUAGACUCGUGAGCGAAUGAACUUUCUAGUUUUGUAAUUUUUGUUGGAUUCCGAGACGUGGGUCUGGCGGCCGGAUUUGGGAGAAUUUCGGGAUUUGUGCCUAAUUUGCUAGUUUUUCUUCAUGAACUCAUUUCCUCCAAAACUUUUUUUCAACCUUCCCCACCCUAUUUAUCAUCCCCAUCAAACCACCCCCAUCACCCCACACCCACCCAACCACCCCAAUCCCCGCCCUAAAUAGAAAUAUUAUUAAUGGUACUUUCUUUUUAUGUUAUAGAUAGAAUACUUUUUUUCAUUUCAAAAAAAUAAGUAUUUUCUUUUCAUAAUAUAAUUUUAAGAAAAUAUGUACUUUUUUGUGACGUAAACAAAGUAUUUUCUUUCAUUUCAACAAUGAAAGCUUGUAAUAAAAUAGAUAUAUCCUUGCCUCACAAAAAUAUGCCAUUUAAAUGUACUAACAGAUCUCACUAUCAUAAAUAGCAUCAUAAUAUAGCAGAGACAAACACUUAAAUGUGAAUAAAUUAAUGCUUUAUUCAAUCAUGCCCAUGCAGGGAAGAAAAUAACAAGAAGUGCGUUUAUUCAUUAUUUUGUUGUCUUUGGACACAUUUUAGCUAGAAUUUGAGUUAACAAGAUAGGCAGGUGUAGAUAACAUAUCAAAUCCAUUGAACUUAGUUCCUCCACAUGUUGAAUAUGCACCCAUAUUAGAAAACACUAUCAGGUCAUCCAAAUGAAGCUCCGGCAAGUUUAUGUCAAUAGCCACUGCAUCAAGUGAGUCACAACUUGGUCCAUAAAUAGUUGACUCAUAAAUUUGACAAGAUUUUUCUGUUACCUGAAGUAACAAUGGCUUUAUACCCACAAAACAACUAUUAUAAAGUGUUGGCCUAAAUGAUCCAUAAAUCCCUUCAUCAAUCCAAUAUUCUAUUUUCUCACCUCUAACUCUUUUACCAAUCACAUGAGCGACUAACGUAAAUGCCGUUUCUGCAAAAAAACCGCCCUGGCUCUGCAAAUAUUGUUAAAUUAGUCAUGGGAAAAUAAUCUUGGACUGCCUCGUUUACUACACUAGCUAUUUCCUCGAACAAUGGUGUUGAUCUAAAUCCUCCACCAAUGUUUAAAAUUUGCAUUUUAGGCAUUCGAAGAUGAUCAGCAACAUCAAAAACGGCCCUAGCAGCUGCAAUCGCCUCGCGAUAAAUGCUAGGAUUUUGUGCUAUAGAUCCAACAUGAAAUGAAACGCCUACAACUUUUAGCCCGACCACAUUACAAGCGUAAUGCAGUAGUGGCUCAACUUCUUCUGGUAGCACGCCGAAUUUUUUUCCCAGGGGACGUAAUGCGCC